ensembl:lncRNA novel transcript
AACUCCUCAGUUAAUAGCCAGGGAAACAGAAGCCCAGGGAGAUAAAGACGGUGGCAGAGGAGGAAUUCUUUCUUAGCAGAUCUUCCAUUCCUAAUCCAGGAUCAUUUCCAGGGCUCCCAGGUGAGAAAAUGGGGAGGGAGAAAACUGAGUGAAUCUCCUCUUAGAGUCAUUGGCCUCCUAGGGGUGGGCUGUUGGCUGCACUCCUGGGCAUUUUGGCACCACUUUUAAUGAUCCACAUCCUUAACUCCUCAGGCAAAGGCUUCUCUUUUCUAGGUUCUCAAGAUGCUUGAAUCCUGGGACAAACACAGAGGAAGGAGCUCCUAAGGAUGGGGGCAGUGGUGAGGAAACAGGCCACUGAGACAGUGAUGGUGUUUGUAGGCAAAGAAGCUACUUGUAUUUGCCAACCACACCAGGAGGCCAGGUUAGGAGUUUCAAAACAAGUUUGCUGCCAAGAAAAACACACAAAAACCCAUAGAUUCAUGCUCUGUAAAUCUCAAGAAGCAACUCUGUCCCAUCCCCAGUCAUGCCCUACACUGGGUCUGUCU